CACUAAUGCAAGUAAUGUGCACCAUAAUAUGACCACUAUACCAGAGAUAAAAUAUCUCUCUUCAGUAAAACACCAUAGGACCCAAAAAAUGAUUAAAGAUGCCACCUGCAAAUAAUCAUUUCAAAUUGUUUGGAAAUGGCCUUACAAACCUUCCCAGAUUGAUGAAAAUAUAGAACUCAAAGAGGGUGUACUUUUUUUCUCAUGACUGUAUAUUACAAAGCUACAUUUUCAAAGAAGAUUGACAGUAGGAUGACUGAACAUUACAUAUGAACAAUAACCUUAUCCAGUUACGAGCACACAAUGCUCCCUAAAUGAUUGCAUGAUUCAAGUGAGGAUAGAGUAAUACGUGAAAAUAAUAGGUUCCCAGAAAUAUUAACUGCAUGAUACCCAGGUACAAAUUCUCCAGAGAUUGUCAACCUUCCGGACUUUCUCCAGAAUUUUCCGGGUACUCUUAGCAUCCUCUCCCAUAGCCACAACUAUGCCCACUGGCAAUCCACUACUGCGAAGAG